AUGAAUGGAACGUGCUCAGGCUUUGCAUCUCAGGAAGUUUUUCACAUGAGAGAAAAUUCUCACCUAUGUAUCCUUCUCAUAGGGACAGGGUUCGUUCUUGUUUUGUACAACCACUUUCUUUUUCCUCUGUUCUUUUUGGAAUGCUUUGCAGAUGAAUACGGCUGGCGGAGUGGAGGAGGAGUGCUCAUGUCUUUGGAUGUUUUCAAAUCCUCCAGAACUGUGACUCGGGAAAGGUUGCAAACUCAGCAAGAUCCUUCAUUUUUCUUAUUGCAUCUCCACAUACAAUAUGGUGCCUCGCACACCCUCUAA
rnacentral:lncRNA from 1 species